AGCCACCAAAGCUAGGCCGAGUCUACCGGCCGGGCGGUGCAUGCCAUGGCCAUCGCCGGCCGGCGGCUCUCAGGGUAUAAAUACAUGCGCACACCGCUGCCUCCUUCGAUUGUCACUUACACUGAGAGAGCUGUCCAUCUCGAUCGGUUCAGUAGUCAGCAGGCACAUCCACCGUACCUGACAUUGUACCGCAGCCGACCAGCCGAGACCAUCAAGCUCCUCAUCACCAGCCACUUCAUCGCUUGGGCACGUACACGCACGAUGAGUUCCCUGGCGGCGAGGCCCACCCUGCUGGCGUACCUGCUGCUCGCCACGCUGCUGCACCCCUGCCUCUGCCACGCCGCAACGCCGGCGGCCGCUCGCUCCGGCGCCGGCGGCGCCAACUGGAGAAUGGAUCGUGAGUACCUGCUGCUGUUGCCUGACUCUUCUUUGGAGAUUGAUCAUCAGCCAACUAAUGAUGCUAAUGCCACCUUAUUAAUUACUGAUUGCUUGUUUCGAUCGGAUGGUGAUGCAGCAAAGGCGAUCGACCAGGGGGUCGCCUACGUCCUCAUGCUCCUCGCGCUCUUCGUCACCUACAUCGUGCACUGAAUUGAAUUGAACAGCGCUUACAGCACACAAGCCUAAGUAAUUAGUUUCUUCAUAUUCAUUGGUCACAUGAUACGCAGGGUCGACGUCCGAUCCUCCUAGAGCUCAAAGCAGGAGAGAGGCUUCUAAAGUUGGUACUACUAGAUAGCGUCUUGAUUUCUGUUCGCCGGCUAUCAGCUGCUCGACGAGCAGAGCAGUUUGGCCGCCGGGGCCGGGCAGAUCAUUUCUUUUCUUUUUCUUUUUCUUUUUUACUUUGAUGUGAUGAUGAUUCGACUUGCUGUAGUAAGUUGCAGUCUAGUAUUCAUCCAUCAUGUGCUGUAAAUGGUUCGUUAUUAAGUGGAGUUCAUGUCAAUAAGGAAUAAUAAUAACAUAAAUUCCAUUUUUCUACGCAAA
rnacentral:lncRNA from 1 species